rnacentral:rRNA from 1 species
UGGGGAAUAUUGCACAAUGGGCGAAAGCCUGAUGCAGCGACGCCGCGUGCGGGAUGAAGGCCUUCGGGUUGUAAACCGCUUUUAAUUGGGAGCAAGCGAGAGUGAGUGUACCUUUUGAAUAAGCACCGGCUAACUACGUGCCAGCAGCCGCGGUAAUACGUAGGGUGCAAGCGUUAUCCGGAAUUAUUGGGCGUAAAGAGCUCGUAGGCGGUUUGUCACGCCUGGUGUGAAAGUCCAUCGCUUAACGGUGGAUCUGCGCCGGGUACGGGCAGGCUAGAGUGCAGUAGGGGAGAUUGGAAUUCCCGGUGUAACGGUGGAAUGUGUAGAUAUCGGGAAGAACACCAAUGGCGAAGGCAGAUCUCUGGGCUGUUACUGACGCUGAGGAGCGAAAGCAUGGGGAGCGAACAGGAUUAGAUACCCUGGUAGUCCAUGCCGUAAAACGGUGGAUGCUGGAUGUGGGACCCUUCCACGGGUUCCGUGUCGGAGCUAACGCGUUAAGCAUCCCGCCUGGGGAGUACGGCCGCAAGGCUAAAACUCUAAAGUGAAUUGACGGGGUC